CUUCAAUACCUAUAAUUCAGGCUAGGGGACAACCAAUUUUUUUAUGAAAACCACAAUUAAUGGUUACCCCAGUAACACAACGACCUACAUUCAUGGAUGCACUUUAUUAUGAUAUGUCCUUCCCUCAAUAUCAACCUUCUCCAACUAACUAUGAUCCAACUUUUGAAGAGAGAUUUUAGCAAGCAUUAGAUAGGAUAGAACUCCAUAAUCAACACAACAAUC
rnacentral:lncRNA from 1 species